rnacentral:rRNA from 1 species
AUUGAACGCUGGCGGCAUGCUUUACACAUGCAAGUCGAACGGUAACAGGGAGCUUGCUCCGCUGACGAGUGGCGAACGGGUGAGUAAUGCGUCGGAACGUGCCGAGUAGUGGGGGAUAACGCAUCGAAAGGUGUGCUAAUACCGCAUACGAACUGAGGUUGAAAGUGGGGGACCUUCGGGCCUCACGCUAUUCGAGCGGCCGACGUCUGAUUAGCCAGUUGGUGAGGUAAAGGCUCACCAAGGCGACGAUCAGUAGCGGGUCUGAGAGGAUGAUCCGCCAAACUGGGACUGAGACACGGCCCAGACUCCUACGGGAGGCAGCAGUGGGGAAUUUUGGACAAUGGGCGCAAGCCUGAUCCAGCCAUGCCGCGUGUCUGAAGAAGGCCUUCGGGUUGUAAAGGACUUUUGUCCGGGAGCAAAUGCUGGUGGCUAACAUCCACCGGAGCUGAGAGUACCGGAAGAAUAAGCACCGGCUAACUACGUGCCAGCAGCCGCCGCCGUAA